AGGGGAAGGAAAAGGGGAGAGGUUCAGGGGUGACAGGAGGACGGCUUCAUGGCUGCGCUUUCCCUUCGCCGAAUCUCCACACUCCACUUUCUGUUCUGUGUUUCGCCUCAUUCCGCUUAGCGAGGGAGAGAGUCAAAGAGACAUGGAGAGUUUUAGUGUUCAAUCCUGAAAAGAGAGAAAAAAACAAGCCAAUUUUUCACUUUUUUUUUCCCCUCUUUUGGGCUGGGAUCUUGGCUGUGUUACAAACAGAUGUUGCUUGUCAUUCGCUCGCAGUGUAGCGAAGCAGCUUGUACAAUUAACGGGCUGAAAGAUAACUGCACCUCUUGUUUUUUCUUUUUUUUUUUUUUUUUGGGGUAGUUAUAAUUACUGGCACGCGGUCAAAAUUUUGCGAAAAAAUAGUGCGUUUUUCAUUUUUUUUCCCUCCCCUCCUUCUCUCCCCCUGUAGUUUCUGUCCUUCCUCUCUUUGCCUUCUUUUGUUUGUCUCAUUCUUUCCUCACCCUGUGCUGCCCAAACUACUUUUCGGGCCGGUUUUGUGUUUGUAAUUUUCAGAUUUUUAUUUUAUUUUUAUUUUUUGAUGGGCCACAAUGGACGUGAAAGCCUCUGCCUUCUGCUACAGCGGCGAAGGCCUUGCAGAGUAGAGUUAUUGGACGCUACACGUAAAGGCAAAAUGCAGGUAGGGAGUAGGAGGACCGGCGAGUGAUGAGGGCAUCCUGGACCCAAAGGGGAGGUGAAAUAAGCGAUCAGAUUAUUUGACGGGAUGUGACAGACUGCUGGGGAUGACACUCCUCUUGUGAGGAUGGUUUUUGUCGCGUUGCGAAGAGAUCACACUCAUCAUUCUGCGGCUUUUCUUCUGCCACUCCCUUCAGCGGGCUGUCUGCUGUCGGCUGCAGGCGGGACAGGCUUAAUCAUCAAUACCCAGAGCCGGUCAGUGGGCGGCUGUGUGAUUUCUGGAGUAUCUUUCAGCACGUCUGCGCUGUAGCUGUGUGUGUGUGUGUGUGUGUGUGUGUGUGUGUGUGUGUGUGUGUGUGUCUAUUGCAGUCCUCGCUGCGGAACAGUUUCCAACCCCUUCCUUCCAGUCUUUCACUGAAACAAGAUGGCGUCGCGCCUCCACAUGGGUCUUCCCUCUCCAAAUAAUGCCCGCUACAUGUGCCUCUAGCUGCUGCCGCGCUGGUCAUUUUUUUUUUUUAGUAAUGCAUGGACACCUGGGGCCUAUUUGCUCGCCACAUAGCUGAAAUGAUCCAGGCUCUCUUCAGGUCUGAGGCUUGGCGAGUGAAAGGAGAUUUAGGGCAAAUUGAACACUUUUAUUGUUUUUGUCUUUUUUUCCUUCUCGUGCUCACCACUUAUAAACUGCCAAACUGAAUGCUGUUUUUUUUUUUCUACCGUCUGGUAGCAUGGAUCCGUUUAUUUUCAGCAUCAUUUGUCCGCGGAGAAGAGUGCAUGCGCGUACGGGCAGUUUAAAAGAGUCUGGGAUUAUCCACACAACAUGUUAACCUCGUUAAUCACUGCAGGACUAACAAUCACACACACACGUAGGUAGUAACCACUGCUGCUCAUGCUUUUACCCGGGACAAACUUGAGAUGUUGCUGAUUGGUUGAUCCGGCAAUAACUCCUAGUUUAAGAUGAGUCACAGUUAAGACUUUGCUGCAACAUCCACUUCAUAAGCUGCUAACUUUUUCAGACAUUUAAAGGAAAAAGGGCUUAAGCUGUGGUUGUAGAUUAUGUUAAGCACAUUUCCUGCCUCGCCUGCUCUAAUAGCAGGUAGCUGUGCAGAUGUGACUUGGCACAGGCUGAAUAGGUUUGGGGUUCAAUUGGGCCUCUCUUUGUUUUUCAACUGGGCUGACAUGUUUUGAAGUCAAUAUUAGCUAUCUGUAUCAUAUAGAGCUAAAAUAAAAAGCAGCAGCCAUGCAGAAAUCGUUUUCCUCUGUUGCUACAUUUUAAUGUUUGGAUCUUUGUUUUACAGGCCCAGUUAAUAAAAUAAAUGUUUUUUUUUAUAGGAAAGAAGAGAAAAGUUCAAUUUGUUUUUCUGUUCCAUAGAUCCUGUGAUAUGAACUUGUGAUAUGAGUAUAAAUAUCUGAUGUAGUGUUUGGGAAUUGAAACAUUGCAACAAAUGUGUGUGACAUUUUACUGCCAAGUCACAGCAAUAGCAGAAGCAAAAGGGCAUUAAAGUGAAAAGCCUACGAUGAGUGAAUUUUUCCUGCAGUCUCUGCAAAUAUGAUGAACGUAUAUACAAUAAAAGUUCAAAUCAUUUAAAUAUUAAAUUGGAGAAACAGUUGAAUAGCCUGAAGAAUGCAAUUUAACACAUUCCGGAGAAGAUAAGCACUAAGAUUGUUUCUGAAGUCACUUUUCUCUUAGCUGCAUUAAAUAAAUUCAUGUUUAAAUUUCCUAAUCCUAACGCUGAAUGUCUCAGAACACAGUUAAAAAUUGCCAGAGCUACAGUUUUUAGAGAGAUGAGUUCAUUUGCUGAUAUUGCUGUGCCUUGCAUCGUGUUUAGUUUUUAUUUCAUCCCCCCUACUGAGAGCUCUGUGAAACCUGAAGAUAGAGAUCAUUUCCCCCCAAAUAUGUCCAAACAAGCUAUGAAAAAGUACAAUAUUUAAUUCAUCAAGUUUCCCCCCCCUAAUGUCUGUAGUAUUUUGCUUUGUUUUUUAAAUACUGUUUGAGGUUGUCAGUUUAGAAUGAAAUAUGCUUAUUUGUAAUUUUAUACUAAAACUGAACAGAUAGUAAUCCCACUCAAUAUCAGAUGUAUUCUGUCAAUUUAGCUGCAAUACAGAUUUAUUUAGUAUGAAAUAAUAAUAAUAAUAAUAAUAAUAAUAAUAAUAAUAA